rnacentral:rRNA from 1 species
UACGUAGGGUGCGAGCGUUGUCCGGAAUUAUUGGGCGUAAAGAGCUCGUAGGCGGUCUGUCGCGUCGGUCGUGAAAACUUGGGGCUUAACCCUGAGCUUGCGGUCGAUACGGGCAUGACUGGAGUUCGGCAGGGGAGACUGGAAUUCCUGGUGUAGCGGUGAAAUGCGCAGAUAUCAGGAAGAACACCAGUGGCGAAGGCGCUCUGCUAGGCCGCAACUGACACUGAGGGACGAAAGCUAGGGGAGCGAACAGG